AUCUAAAAAAAAAAAAAAAAAUUAGCCAUGGAGAAAGUCAAGAAUUCAAAUCCAGAACCCUCCCCUUUAAAUGUAACUUCAAAAAAGUACAACAGUCUAAUGACAACCCAUAUGAACAGAGACAAAUAUGACAACUGAAUCCAAAGUGCUGCACCCAAAAAUGAAAUAGGCCCCUCCCUGCCAAAGCAAUGCUUGACCCAAGCAAUAUCCUAGAACUCCGGAUGAUGAAGACAAGAAUGAACCACCAAAAGUAGAACUGCCCAUGCCUUGAAGUACACAAUACAGCGAGGAAGCAAGCAAGCACAACAAAUUAUUAGCUAGGCACAAUGAUAGCCUCCAAUUCCCGCAUCCACAAAUCAGUUCACAGUCGAAGUAAAUAAAGAACGUUAAAUACAACAGGUAAGUGGGACCUGUCAAAAAUAAAAUGACCAAGCUGACCACAAUCCCACCAUCUAGACUGGCCAUUCAUGCCAAAAUUACAAUGAAAGGGAGAUCAUGAAGUUGGCAAACUUGGGUAGCAUAAGUGCAAUUAGCGAAGUGGCUAAUGGAUUCACCAAGGAGCAAGCAUCAGAUGCACCCCCAAUAGGUCCACCUACAGGGGAUAAUCCAGGAACUAUACCCGUUGUCGGUACAGUUGUACUCCUGGGCGUUGUUGCACCAGACCCAUCUGACUGAGGUGCAGGUGCUGGAGCUGAACCAAACGCUGAAUCCCUAGUCACUGAAGUAGGAGGGGCUAGCAGGGGAGGAAAUUGCUGUGGCCCUGCAUCAUUUUUUAGAAAAAUGCAAAAACAGAUCAACAGUUGCCUACAGAAUCUAGCUUUGUUGAUACUUGAUAAAUUUAAUAGGCAAUACCAUGGAAAUGAUAACCAAAUUAUCAGUGCUAGAUUCAAUAAGACUCGAAACACCUCAUAAGUCACCAAUUCAUUUCUUUUGUUAUGUACUCGUAAAUGAACAGCAGUCAUCAGACUUUUACCUGGACAGCGAGGUUGAAGAGAUGUGGACAACAAGGUCAUGAUGCUGCCGUUGACAUAUCCACCAUAACUGCAAGAAGCAACACUACAACCAGCACUACUCUGCUUCCACGUGACAUUCCCGAGCAUGAGAUUGCUAUUUUUACACUGCAUGCUUGAACAAGAAACCGCCAAGGAAGCAGGCAUGCAGUACAAGUCAAGAUUUCCUGGCCCACAGCUGCAUUGCACACAGUGACUUGCAGAAAUAGCAUAGCUCCCAUUUGGCACAAUCAGGCCAUGAUCAAAGGCAUAUCUUGGAAACUUAGAAGCACAGGCUGGCAAUGGCACAGCAAGUAUAUCACCAGCCUUGAUGGUCGGAUUUCCCAUAGCAUUAACAUUCAUCAAAUCAGUAAUAGUAGUGGAAUAUCUCGAAGCAAUCCCCGCCAAAGUAUCCACCUCCUUCACCACGUAAGACAGAUAAAUUGCCGGCAACGAAUUAUCCGUCCCAUUAAAACAUGUACAGGGCAAUGGCACGACAAGGCUCUGCCCCACAUCCAGUACUGAAGGAUCCUGUAUCGAAUUAGCUUCCUUUAUCUGGUCCGCGGACACCAAACCCGAAUAAAUCGAAUCCGCAAUGGAAGACAAAGUAUCCGAAGGCCGAGUCUUGUACCGCGUAGAAACGGAUUUGCGUAUUCCAUCCACGCAGGAGCAUACUAUUGGGAUCUUGAGGAAAAGCUGGGAAGGAAGGAUGUGGUUUUCGAUAUCUGGGUAAGAGAUGUCGAUGGAAUUAGCUGUGAGGAGAGCUAUGGGAUCAAUUUGGAAGAGGGAGGCUACUUCUGAGACUUUGAGGUCUGUGUAGAGAGUAUAGCCAAGAAGAGCAUUACAGGAGUCGUUGUUGGAGCAUGGUUCGAUUGUGGAUUUGGAGGUAACAAUAGCUACUACAUUGACGAAAAUCAAAAGAAGGACGAUGGGUUUUGGGUUUUGCAUCUUUAAGAGGUCCGAGGGGAAGAUGUGAGAGUUUCAGGGUUUUAGGAAAGCUAAACACUUUUUUAGCUUUGGAUUGGUAACGGUAGAGAAUGUGAUCAGUUUCGAAGGUUUUUAGGGUUCGUAUUGCUUCAACUCGCCAAACCCAGAAUGAAUAUGCAACAAAACGAAGAGUGACUGACAGCAGGAUGAGUUUAGUACCAAAGAGAACGGGUUUGAUUUGAUUUUUACGGAUUUCACAGUUCGUGCUUCUUGUUCUUCCGCUUAUAAUGCCCUCCAGCCAGUGAGAGAAGUGGAGAAGAAAAGAAAGCGUUUUUGACAGAGUAGAGCUAAGGGAGGAAACACAUGUGCUGCACAGAGUGAGCAGACACUCACAGGUCAGAUU
rnacentral:misc_RNA from 1 species